rnacentral:lncRNA from 1 species
UUUGCAUUCAUGUUGCAUAAGCCAAAUUUCUUAAUCAAAUAAACAAACCCUUGAUCUAACGUCAAACGGGUUUUUCUUAAUCAAAUUCAAUAUACUCAAUAACUAUGAUUAUUAUUGUGUGCUACGAUCCUUAAGGGGUGGAGAAUGAGUGGGAAUGAAUCAUUCCUACCCUCACUCUAUUUAUCUUGGACGCAAAACGCUUGACUUGUUGUCUAGAAUAUUCACCUCCGCCCCUAGACUUUAGUGCAAUCUAAU